GUAGGUGGCAAGCGUUGUCCGGAAUUAUUGGGCGUAAAGCGCGCGCAGGCGGUCCUUUAAGUCUGAUGUGAAAGCCCACGGCUCAACCGUGGAGGGUCAUUGGAAACUGGGGACUUGAGUACAGAAGAGGAAAGCGGAAUUCCAAGUGUAGCGGUGAAAUGCGUAGAGAUUUGGAGGAGCACCAGUGGCGAAGGCGGCUUUCUGGUCUGUAACUGACGCUGAGGCGCGAAAGCGUGGGGAGCAAACAGGGAUUAGAUACCCUGGUAGUCCACGCCGUAAACGAUGAGUGCUAAGUGUUAGGGGGGUUUCCGCCCCCUUAGUGCUGCAGCUAACGCAUUAGGCACUCCGCCUGGGGAUACGGCUGCAAGGCUG
rnacentral:rRNA from 1 species